UAAAAUCAUUCAUCAACAGAUGUAUGGUGAUGAUAUGCAUGUAUUGGGAAAUAUCACAAUUAUACAGAUGUGUAUAAUGGUGAACAAUGUGACAAUACCAAGCGAAAGCAAAGACUGUCAUGGUUUAGACUUCAAUAUGAAUAGGUUGAAUGACGUGAAACUUAAUGAAUCUUACAUAAUAACAGACAAAAAUAAAACGGUCAUAAUACCAGAGAGCCAUUAUCGAAUAGAAAUCGCACUUAAGGCUGAAAAUAUACCAACGAAUUUGAAUAAUGUCAGAAUAACAAGUUGUCUUAGUCAAACACCUGACCCAACUUGUCCACGCAUUGCCUUGAGUACCAGCGAUUUCACAGUCAUCAACAAUACUAUCUGGAUCUACAAAAAUAAUGGUCGUAAGUUUACAAAUGAUGAUAUUAUGAUAAUUUCUAACGAAACUGUUCUUGUCUGUUCGUUUUUGUCUCAAAACGGAACCAACACAGACUUAUCAACGCUGUUUAUUUACGACACAACUCUGCACCUUUUAGACAUUGUGGGUGUCUCUUUAUCGCUUCUUGGUCUUUUUCUAACAUUUGCUAUUCGUUGCAUUUAUAAAGAGCUUCGAACAACCUCUGGUAAAAUAGUUAUGAAUAUUGCGGCCUCAUUGUUUCUUGCCCAGCUUGGAACUCUGUUUUCAAAAUCGUUAGUUGAAUAUACACAGGCGUGUUUUCUCAUGGCAGCACUUCUGCAUUAUUUAUGGUUGGUAGCGUUUGUGUGGAUGCUGAUGAUGUCAAUAUUAUUGUUCAGAUCGUUCCGUUCGUUGAAAUCUGCUGUAGCAAAUCGCAAGAAAAAACAAUCAGUUAAAUUGCAUUUGUUUUGUUGUUGGGGACUUCCACUAUUGUUUGUCGCUAUCUUGUUGACUCUUCAUUUCUGCGACCGUGUACCUAUUCAAUUUUCAUACGGUGACGAAACAGUUUGUUGGAUACGUGAUGAGUUUGCUGCUUUCCUAUUUUUAGGAAUUCCCAUGGCGACAAUUCUUUGUUUAAAUAGCAUUAUGUUUGUCGUCAUUGUUAGAGGAAUUUAUCAAAAUACAAGGAGCUCGAGGGCGAUACGCAGAAAUUCUAUAAAAGAAGAAUUUACUUCUAAUCUCAUCAUCUUUAUAAAGAUAUCUUGCAUUAUGGGCUUAACUUGGAUCUUUGGGUUUCUUGCUUCAUUUACCGAUGAACCAUACAUUUGGUACAUCUUCGUAAUAUUUAACAGUCUUCAAGGAGUAUUCAUAUUUAUGGCAUUCACUUUAUCGAGUCUUAUGAAGGUCUUGUUUGGAAAGAAAAAGAAAGCUGGGACGACAUAGCUUUCAAUUUAUGAUACCCGACAUGGAGUGGUCAUCACUUGAGAAUACAGUAUGGUGGAAUUCUCAGUUGGGGAUCCUUGUGAAGCUCUCGAUGAAGAAGGAUACCGGAGUCGGGGGAAUGUUGUGAGAGUUCAGUUAAACGGCCAACAACACUACACUGUGAACUUUGAUGGAUGGGGUCAUCGUUGGGACAACGAAGUGUCAGAAUCAGAAAUUCGUAAUGUAACAAAGGAAUCUGUAAAACGAACUGGCAAAAUACAGAAACAUAAAGCAGUGAGAAAAUUGCACUUGCGUGCUGAUGACGAAACAGUCAUUUACUUAGCUGGAAAACAAAAAAAGUGUUACUGUUAAGGAGAUUGAUCCUAUGCAUGAUGUUGUUGUGGUUGAGCUUGAAGGUCCUUGUUAUCAGUUAAGAGUGAAGUCUUCAUCCCACCAACUACGACCAGUGAAACCAUCCCAAGUAAACGAAAUCAUUCAAAGAAAUUUAAAAGAAGUAAUGGACGUCCUUCAAAAUUAACUGUUCAGCAAGUAAACUGUGAGCAUUUAGAGAAAGUUCAGUCUACAAAUGGUAAAUCGAUUAGAGAAAUGUGUGUUUCAGAUAGCGAAAACCGUUUGCCACUUUUGACUGCAAACGGCCAGCGUGGAUUUCUGUCUGUUGGCGAUGUUUGUACCUUUCGAGAUGUCCUUGUAGUUUGUAUACAAGAAAUUAUAUGGACACCCUCAGAUGUAUAUGUAAAAUGAUUUGUAUGCAAGGAGAAAAAGGAUGCUUAUGUGUGUGAUGAAAAUUGUUCCCUUCAGUGUCCCUUAACUUCAAUGAUAAAGUCAAAGGUACGCUUGGGCGGUGAUGCCAAACGUAAUGCAGAAAAAUUUAAAGUUGACGCGAUUGAAGAAACACGACUUGCAAACUCUAAUGGAUGUCCAGCUUCAUAUUUAGAAGACAUAAGGAAAUUCGGAACUGGACAACACCUGCACAACAAAAUUCAAGAAACACUUACUUCAAAGUAUCUGGUUAAGAAGUUCAGUAUACUCUUUGAUGAACGUGAUUAUGCGCUUUUCGAUUUGACGAAAUCUAACAAUUUUCGUAAGAGUUUCUCAUUAGAAUCAGGAUAUCAGCACCUUGAUAUGCUCCUAGGUACAUGCUGGGAUGUUGUGACUUACCAGGACAAAUUUUCGUUUGUCAGGGCAAUCGAUUUUGUUUUGAAACAACCUAUAAUUGAAUGUACUAUUCAGCGGUCAACUUCUACUAGACCAUUUGAUGUUAGUUCGUACAGAACUAGUGCUAAAAGUAGUCUGUACACUGUAACAUGUUUUGAAUGAUCUUUUCUUCCUUGGCUGGAAACUGUUUAAAUAAACGUAAUUUGAAGUUUUUAAACUGAUGAAUGGUAAUUAUUUUUCAUCUGAUUGCCUUUGGUUAUAUAAAUAUCAUCCAAAUAUAAUUUGUACACUUUAACAUAUUUUAUAACAAACCUAGAUAGAUUUCGUAUAAUCUAACAUUGCUUAUUUAUUCCAUUUCGUCAUUCAUAAUGGAAAUUUAGUACCAUCCAUACAUUUUCCAUUUUUGCCCGUUGCACGUAGCUUAGGAUAAAAUAUGACUUCAACCUAACAAUCUUUUGUGGGUUUAAAAGAACCUUGACUGUUUCAUUUGGAAAAAGAGUCGAUUUUUUUUUUCAUAAAAUAUCUAAUUUCAAGAAGCUUCAUUCAUAAAAAAAAAAGUUGUAUUCCUUUAAUGAUAUAUCACAUGACUUAGUUUAGAUGUGUUAUAAAGCAAAUAAAUGUUAUUUAUUCCGCCUCCUCGAGUUGAACAGUCAAUCUUUUAACUCAUGAUAAUAUUACAGUAUUCCCGUUCCACUUACAAACAUUUAUUAUUUGUAUACUAAGACUAAGGGACAUUUAAAGAAAUAGCAAUCAACAAUGGCUAAUAAUACACAUUUUUGAAAAUUAAAGUAAUGAGUAUAACAGGUAAUACCCCUUCUGGUAUCUUAUAAUUUUGAUAUUUGUUUAGCAUGUUGCUUUGAAUGACUUGCAAUUAUAAUUUUCUGACUUUGCUAUAAAACUGCUUCAAUGCAAUAUAUUUUAAGUUUCUAAAAUCUGAUGAUAUGUUUUUACUGA